GACGAACGCUGGCGGCGUGCCUAAUACAUGCAAGUAGAACGCUGAAGGAGGAGCUUGCUUCUCUGGAUGAGUUGCGAACGGGUGAGUAACGCGUAGGUAACCUGCCUGGUAGCGGGGGAUAACUAUUGGAAACGAUAGCUAAUACCGCAUAAUAGUAGAUGUUGCAUGACAUUUGCUUAAAAGUUGCAAUUGCAUCACUACCAGAUGGACCUGCGUUGUAUUAGCUAGUUGGUGGGGUAACGGCUCACCAAGGCGACGAUACAUAUCCGACCUGAGAGGGUGAUCGGCCACACUGGGACUGAGACACGGCCCAGACUCCUACGGGAGGCAGCAGUAGGGAAUCUUCGGCAAUGGACGGAAGUCUGACCGAGCAACGCCGGGUGAGUGAAGGAGGUUUUCGGAUCGUAAAGCUCUGCUGUAAGAGAAGGACGAGUGUGAGAGUGGAAAGUUCACACUGUGACGGUAUCUUAACAGAAAGGGACGGCUAACUACGUG
rnacentral:rRNA from 1 species